UACGUAGGGGGCUAGCGUUGUCCGGAUUUAUUGGGCGUAAAGAGCGUGUAGGCGGCCAGAUAGGUCUGCUGUGAAAACUCGAGGCUCAACCUCGAGCUGUCGGCGGAAACCAUCCGGCUAGAGUCCGGAAGAGGAGAGUGGAAUUCCAGGUGUAGCGGUGAAAUGCGUAGAUAUCUGGAGGAACACCGGUGGCGAAGGCGGCAUCCUGGACCGACACUGACGCUGAGGAGCGAAAGCCAGGGGAGCAAACGGG
rnacentral:rRNA from 1 species